CAGCAACCAUCUACAGAAAUCGCUAUGAAGAACUUCGUGGUUCUAAUGUCUGUUGCAGUUGUUUUCCUAGGAAUAUUUGAAAAUGCACUUCAAGGUGCGGAAGGCUAUAAUUUGGAAUACGAGGAC